CUGUGGGAGGAGUAAGCGGCG
rnacentral:misc_RNA from 1 species